GUGAGUGUAGCUCAAUUGGUUAGAGUACCGGACUGUGGCUCCGGAUGUUGCGGGUUCGAUCCCCGUCACUCACCCCA
rnacentral:tRNA from 1 species